rnacentral:lncRNA from 1 species
UAUGAGUUACUCUAUGAGCUAACUGUUAGACAAGACUUAAUUUCAGGCAACCACCAGCAUAUUACAUUACAAUUUCGCAGAAAUUUCUGACAAUCAAUGUUGUAUGAUUGAGGAAACAAAAACGGAUCAACUAAACAAUACAAAUAGACAAACUAUACAUGAUGAUUGUAAGACAAAAUAAUCAUAUCAAUCAGUUAAACAUCAUCUUAACAGUAAUAGAAAUAAACCAUCAUCUUAAAGAGUAACCAAGGUAAAACAUCAUCUUAGAGAGUAAUUAGGAUGAAACAUCAUCUUAAUCUUAGAGAGUAAUUAGGAUGAAACAUCAUCUUAAUCUUAGAGAGUAAUCAAGGCAAAUCAUCAUCUAAAAGAGCAAUCCCCUGAUAAAAUAUCCUCUUAAUCUUAAAAGAUAAAUUUAAAGAGUAAUUAUGGCAACUUACUGAAUAAUCACGACAAAAAAUCAUAUGAAUACACCAAAUCAAAUUAGCAUCUAACAAAAACUAUGGUACAAUUACAUUGACAAGCUGAUGAAUGCUAACUGUCAUAUACUAUUUGGAUUAACCAACAAAAGG